ACAUCGUAAAUCAACUAUAGUAAAAUUUUUUAAACAUAAAAUAAAAAGGGUUUAUACUGAAGGAAAGAAAGAAAUUGAGAAAGAAAUUGAGAAAGAAAGAAAAAGAAAUUAAGAAAGCAAAUGUUACCUCAAACUAUUCCUCUGACCAGAAAAAAAGAACUGGUUUUAAAGAUUUUUUUAAGAUAAUUUUUUAGAUGAAAGUAGGCAAAUUAUUUAAUUCUGUGGACCAAAUCCAAUAACUCAGAGUAUUGGGAUAUUAUUUCCUAAAUGGGAGCCAUAAAAUUAUGCUAUUUCAUUCUCUGUAGGUCUCACUGGCUUAGAGUCACCAUGAUUAUUUUUUACAAUCAGUUGUAAAGACAGAGUGGUUGUUAAGUUUCUCCUAAAAAGUAAAGAUACAUUUUAAGUUACAUUUUAAGAGGAAUCAUCACGUUCCAAUAAGAAUCCAAAUAUUGACUAAGAAAAUUGUUAAUAUUUAAUCACACAGGAUUCAUUUCAACAAGUCGAGGCUGGAGUUUGGUUCGUAGGAGUUAUUUAUGGAAAUUAGAUAAGUGAGUCAAAAUGAAAAAGCUCCAUUACAGAGCUACAGUGGCUGCUCUUGCAGUAGAAGAAAGAUAAAAGCAAUGUCUAAAGUAACUAUGCUAUCUUUGUUUUUGUUUUGUCACAAAGAGAUAAACUAAACUGUAUUUCGAUGGAUUUUCAAUGCACUAAGUCAACUUAGCACAUAUGGCAAAGGGAGAUUAUUGUCAGAUAGAAUGACUGAAUGGUCCCUAGGAGAAAAAAAAAAAAAAACACAUUUCUAAAACUUAUUAAAUUUCAUUAUUAUGAAAAAUUAACAAGGUAGAAUUAGACAGAUUGGGGAAAUUAUUUAGUUAAUAUCAAACUUUGCUUUUACAUCAAAGUAUCCCUUCCUGCUCCCUCCACCUCAGAUCUAAAUCACUUGUCUCAAGUACCUGGAUUUUUUUUUUUUCUGUACAAGAAAUACAUAAUAAUAUCUGGUGGGCGAUGUCGCAGACAUGUUUUUCCAAUCUUCUUGCUUGAUCAUCUGUCAAGAGACAUGUUUUUCCAAUCUUCUUGCUUGAUCAUCCACCCAUAGCCCCUCCUCACGUGAUCUCAUCAAAAGUAAUAUAAAAGCAGUGUGGUUUCUUGGGGCGGGGAUCUCGGUUUCAGAGACCUUGAGUCCUCCAGUUCUCACCUUUACUGUCUCUGUGUUUUGUUUUGUGUUGGCAUUUUGUUUUGUGUUGGUUUUUUCCUUAAGUUCCAGAGCACCUGUUCUUCAGCCUCAUCCUGCUGAGCUGGUCUCGGCAAGUGGCGCCCAACGUGGGGCGGACAAAUAGGCAGGAGUGAGGUGACGAGGACUCGUCAAGCCUCUACUUCUAGGGUUGCAAAGAAAAUGAGCGCUGUCCAUGAACACCAUCUAUCAUCCCUUCAACAGGGGAUAUUACAGACUCGAAGGGAAGGCGAUUUGGACGCCAUACAUUUAGCCGUUCCAGUAACUGUCGGGGAGACAGCAGCUCCAGGCAUUGAUCCCGCCAACCCUGAUGGAGUUUGAGUUCAUUCAUGAGCCCUUUCCUUUUAAAAUUCUUAAAGAAUUAAAACAGGCCGUUCAAAAGUGUGGUGUUAAUUCUCCCUUUACAAAGGGAAUCAUGCAGGGAGCAGCUGAAGGAAAUCGUAUGAUUGCUGCUGAUUGGCAUAACUUAACCCGUGGUGUGGUAUCACCUAGUGAAUAUUUACAAUUUAAGUCUUGGUGGCAAGAUCAUGCCCAAAUUACUGCUCAUCGUAAUCAGGCUCGAAAUCUUCGAAUUACAAUGGAACAAUUGUUAGGGACUGGUCCUUGGAGUAAUCCCCAAGAUCAAAUGAGAAUGAAUGAUUUAGCUAUUGAACAGAUUAGGCAGUGUUGCUUAAUGGCAUGGGAUAAAAUUGAAUCUAAGGGUCUAAUAAAUACUUCUUUUCAAAAGAUCCUACAAAGCCCUAACGAACCUUAUACCGAAUUUCUAGCUCGUUUACAAGAGGCAUUAAAAUGACAAAUUACUAACUCUGAGGUGUCUGAUACUAUUUUUCAAUUGUUAGCAUAUGAAAAUGCAAAUACUGAUUGCAAAAAGGCCAUAGGAUUUUUAAAAGGAAAAGCUAACAUUGCUGAAUAUAUUAAAGCCUGUCAGGGAGUGGGGACGGCAUCCUUUAAGGCCUCAAUGUUAGUCCAAGCAAUGGCUAAUUUGAAGAAAGCCUCUUACUCCAAAUAAUGACAGGCUGGAGUUUCGCUUAAGGUCAGGUGAAACCAGUUGAUAUGGGGAUGCCUGAAAGGACUUUAUGUACCUUCAAGAGAAUGAAAAAUCAAAUUCAUUGGAAUAUAUGCAGGACUAUGGAGGGGGUCAUACUGCUUAAUGGUUCCUAUGGAACUGUAGGGGAUUGGUCCCCUAAGGGGAAGCCGAUUCCUGUCUGUAUGAGCCAUCAACUUCUGUGUUCUGUUAAUGAAUUACUCUCUUGGACAGUCUCUAGCCAAUCAGGCCAACAAGAAAAAAAAUUUUUUUAAAUUAAAAAAGAAAAAAAUACAAUGUCUUCGAAACUGCUCAAAUCAAAGCUGGGGCCAAUGAAGGGAAUGAUGCUAUAAAUGCCAGAGGCAAAUUAGAAGAGAUAGAACAAGAUUCCCCACAGGGUGUCAGGUGGUUUCUAUGGGUGAUCCCAUUCGGUUUGUUGAUGAGGGAGAGAACCACAACUGGCAUAGAAAUCAUUUUGUUACUUGUAUAGUAGAGGGAUUAAAAGCCUCACGAGUAAAGCCCGUUAAAAACUAUCGGAGGUUUACUAGGGGAACAAGAGAGUCCAUCAACUUUCUUAGACUCAGAAAGGCAUUGAGAAAACAUAUACCAAGGAACCCAGAAACAAUGGAGAGCCAAAUAAUUCUUAAGGAUAAAUUCAUAGCUCAAUCGCUGCCGGAUAUAUGGAGAAAGCUCCAAAAAUUGGCUUUUGGCCCUGAUCAGGACCUGGAGCACCUCCUCAGAGUAGCAACUCAAAUAUGUUAUAAUCGGGGCCAGGAAGAAUGAAAGGAGAACAAGAAGAGAAAAGGCUGAGGCUCUAGUUACAGGACUAGAGGGAGUCAACCUGGGAGCUUCCAAGGUGAGAGGACUAGGGCAGAGACCUAUGCCCGGAGCCUGUUUCCUCUAUGGAAAAGAGGGAUCCUUUAAAUGGGAAUGUCCUUAGACUCAGCUGUGCCCCAUAUGUUGGGGAGAUCACUGGAAGAGGGACUGCCCCUGAAGACGAAGGUCUCUGUGGUGGACCCCUCAGGCCCAGGAUCAAGACUGACGGGACAUUUCCAUAAUGGCCCCUGUCCUUAUCACCACUUAGGAGCCACUUUUUAGUCCUCCCUUCCAAUCCCGGGCCCCUCCCUCAUGAAUCUGCCACAUUCAUGUUUCUGGCAAGCCGGUUACAAAAUUUUUACACAACCUUUGAGUUGUGACUGGGAAUCCAUUUUCUUUUCUCAAUGCCUUUCUGAUUGUUCCAGAGUCCAACUCAUCUUUUAGAAAGACAUUUUGUAAGAGGUUAAAGCCUCAAUUCACAUGGCAAUGGAGGACUUCCCAUGUGGCUCACAACAUAACUACUCGGCAAUCCCUCACAUUUUAUUUUUGUGUAGUAUGUUAAUUAUGAGCAAAAUGAUAGUGUAUGUCAGUCAAAUACAAAGCUUUCCUUUUAUUAGUAUUAAAACCUGGUGAUUGAUGCAUAAGCUCAUGGAAAUUAUCAGGUUAAUCUGAACAAUAUAUUAGUUCCUUUCAGCUCACAAUCUGUUAUUUCACAGACCAUGGUUAAUAGAAUGCCCCCAAAAAUAAAAAAAUAAAUAAAUAAAAAAAGAGAGGGGAGGAAUAUAUGCCAAUGGAGCCUCAUCAAGGUUUCUGCAUUUCCUUGACUAAGACCUUACUAUUACAAAAUCUAAAUGUUGUAUUCCUGAUGUUCAUAGAAUGUGUCUCAUUCCCUGCUGGAUUUUCAACAGUAGAUUCAUGAGCUGUCCUAUCCAGCUCCAACUUUUGGAGCUGCCUUGUGGAACCAGCUGACCUCCUCCUCCUGGUGAAAAUGUUUCUUUCGCCGUAUUCAUUGUGAUCUUGAUCCUUUUAUUCAGACCCUGUAUAAUUAAUGGUAUUUCUUGCUUCAUUACAUCUUGAUUAAGAGCUAUCAGUGUUCAAAUGUUGAUAGAAGGGGUGUCCAAAGCAAUGUAUCAAGGCCCACUUGACCAUCCCAUGAGUGGAGACCUAACUGCUUUCCCUAACUACGCCCCUUUUCAGCAGGAAGAAGUUAGAGCGGUCGUCGCCCCUUUUCCCACAGUUAGAGUCUCCAACUCGGGGAUGGGGAUUGAGAAUAUGGGCUUUGAUACAUUCUUUGAUGUGGCUAUCCAUUAACAUUUGUAACUUAAGGGUCGCAUAGAACCCCAGCUGCUACAGAGUUUACAGUUAUUACCCCGUGGAACCAUCCUCUGCUACCACAUCAUAGUCAAGAAGUCUGCAUCCACGGCUGACAUGGACACCUGGGAGGCUGUGCAGCACCUCGAGAAUCCCCUCAUGGUUGAGUUCCAGAGACUCCCUUUGCCAUCGUCAGAGAGCACUGAGCCCUGCUCUGGCCACCCCUGGAAACUGGUCAGUCUAAGCACGGCUGAAGCCCGAGGAGUUCCACAUGAGACCAAACUUGGACUCGUGUUCUGUCUAUAGAUGCACAAAGUGAGCGAUUUAAGAAGUAAUGAAGAAAAGAAGUUGCAAGGUCUAUUUUUGCCCUCCUGCAAAAACAAAAAGGGGGAGAUGUCGUGAGACAUGUUUUUCCAAUCUUCUUGCUUGAGCAUCUGUCAAGAGACAUGUUUUUCCAAUCUUCUUGCUUGAUCAUCCACCCAUAGCCCCUCCUCACGUGUUCUCAUCAAAAGAGUAAUAGAAAAGCAGUGUAGUUUCUUGAGGCGGGGAUCUUGGUUUCAGAGACCUUGAGUCCCCCGGUUCCCACCUUUACUGUCUCUGUGUUUUGUUUUGUGUUGGCAUUUUGUUUUGUGUUGGUUUUUUCCUUAAGUUCCAGAGCACCCAUUCUUCAGCCCCAUCCUGAUGAGCUGGUCUCGGCAGGGAGAUAAUUUAUAAAUCACUUAUGGAAACUUCCCCUAAGCUAACGAGUUUGUGGUUACCAAGAGUGUCAAUGAAUUUCGAAUUUAAAAAAAAAAAAAUGAAAUGAUUGUGUACAUAAACUAAAAUAAAUUUGAUACAUGUUUAACAAUGGAAAGAAAAUCUAGCUAAUUAUUAGAAGUUUACUUAAAGAGGAUAACAUUUUGGCUACUAAGUUUUUACCUUCCUAAUACUUCUGUGCUGUAAGAAGUAUGGCUUAUUUUUAUAUAUAUGUUUAUAAUGUGUUUAUUAUUUGGAGAGAUACCUAAUCUGUAAGUGUUAUGAUUAAAGUCUUACUUGAGAUUUUAAAAAAC